GACAGAGGGUGCAAACGUUGCUCGGAAUCACUGGGCGUAAAGGGCGUGUAGGCGGGAAGGAAAGUCAGAUGUGAAAUCCCCAGGCUCAACCUGGGAACUGCAUUUGAAACUCCCUUUCUUGAGUACCGGAGAGGAAAGUGGAAUUCCUGGUGUAGAGGUGAAAUUCGUAGAUAUCAGGAGGAACACCAGUGGCGAAGGCGGCUUUCUGGACGGUAACUGACGCUGAGACGCGAAAGCGUGGGGAGCAAACAGGAUUAGAAACCCCCGUAGUCC
rnacentral:rRNA from 1 species